GAACAUACAUCGGUGUUGUCUAUCUUCAGCAACAUAUGAAAGUUUGCUCGGUUAAAAUUCAGUGUAGCAGUUUCGCACAGGGCAUUUCUAAGAUCACAAUUUAGUUUUAUUUGUCUAUGUUUUUGAAUUGAUUUGUUUCCGAUGUAGCCAAACUGAUAAAAUUUGAAAUAGUGUUAAUGAUAUUGCAGUCAGUCAGUGAAAUUUUUAGUUCUUAUUGUAACCGUGAAUGUAAAACAACGAUUAACAAAACGACACGUGUAGACGAUAUAUAUUUAUACCUUCAAUGACUAUUUUAAUGAGAAAUGCCUGCUACAGACCCAUUAUCAUUUAUCGAGUUAUGCUACAACAAUAUACGAUAUCACACGCUCAAUAAAUGGUCAUCUGUAAAUUAGCAUUGAUAACAGCUGUCUGCAAUUCAACUUAACACAAUUCUGCUCUCAAUAUGCCAAUAAACAAUAUGCGGUUUAAUCGGGUGUCAUGACGAAUGUACAACAAAUUAACAUCGAACAAUAAUGAUAAUAAUAUAUAUUGUAGUACAAUAUCGACCGCGAGUCUGGGAACUGUUUUUGUAGAGUGUUAUCGCUAAGUAUAAAGUUUUUAUUUUGUUGGUGUAACCGAUGGCAAAUAAACAAAAAUAAACAAAACAAAAAAAAAAGACAGUGCACAAGAGCCAUUAAACAACACUCAGUGAUACGGUUAUCUUGUCUGGUUCACAUUAAAAGCACAUAAUUUUUCGUUUAUAUAAUUUUGAUUUCGGUAAUUAUGUGCCAAAAAAAAGAUGAAUUCAAAUUUAAUUCGCCAGUGAACGUUUUGGCAUCCUAGUCGGUCGGAACAAUUCGGUAUCCUAUAUAGUCAAUAAAAUCUAUCGAAACGAUUGCAAGAUUUCGAGACUCGUUUCACAGAGACUGUUUUCCUGUUUCACUUUGAAAAUAAAACAGCUGCUGCUGCUGCUGUUUUGGAAGAUUGCGAAU